GACGGUUUGGCUGAGUGGUCUAAGGUGCCAGAUUUAGGCUCUAGUUCGAGAGGGCGUGGGUUCAAAUCACACAGCUAUCA
rfam:Ipomoea nil DNA, scaffold: scaffold2731, cultivar: Tokyo-kokei standard.